rnacentral:rRNA from 1 species
UUAAUAUUAUUAUAUUAUUUGAGAUAGUAGGUUAUUAAUUAAAAUAAUUUUAAGUAGAAUUUUAGUAUAGUUUAUAGAAUUUAUAAAGUAAAUGAUAGAGUAGUAGUACUGUGGAGGAAAUAUGAAAUAGGUGAAAUAGAUAUUGGGAGAAAAGAAGAACAUAGUUUGUACCUUGGGUAUCAGGGUUUAUUAAUUAAUGAUAAUGAUUUAUGAUUCCCGAAUUAAAAAGAGCUAAGGUAAUAUAGUAGUUAAUGUAUUAUUAUUAUUAGAGAUAUUAUCUUGGGAGUGAAAUGUUAGGCGUUUUUUAAGUUAUCUGGUUUUCUAAGAAAUGAAUUUAAUUCAUGUUAUUGGGAGUAAGUGUUUAAUUUUAUUAAUAACUUAUUUUUUGGUAACGAAGAUAUAAAGGGAUAAGCUUUUAUGUGGAUACUAAAAAUUAUGGAGGUUUGUAAGAGUAGUAGGCUUUAAAUUAGCUAUCAAUGGAAUAAUGUUAUAAGUUGUUUUGUGAUGAGAUUAUUUUUAAUAAUUUUAGUUUGUUUAUUGGAAUGUUAUAGAGAAUAGAUUUAUAUGAGUAAUAAUGGUAAAAUGAGUAUAUGAAAUUGUUUAUUUUAAAUUUAAUGGUAAUUUACAGUAAGGAACUAGGCAAAGUAUCACUCGCCUGUUUAUCAAAAACAUCUCCUUUUGUUUUUAUACAAGGUAGGACCUGCCCACUGAAAGGUAUUUGAAGGGCCGCGGUAUUAUGACCGUGCAAAGGUAGCAUAAUCAUUAGUCUUUUAAUUGAAGGCUGGAAUGAAUGGUUUGACGAGGUGAUGACUGUCUCAGUGUAAUAAGUAGAAGUUAACUUUUAAGUUAAAAGGCUUAAAUUUUAGUGAAGGACGAGAAGACCCUAUAGAGCUUUAUACAUAAGUUCAAGUUUAUAUUUAGAGGUUUAUAAAAAUUUGGAUUGGAGUGUAUUAUGUUGGGGUGACAUAAAGAUAGAAUUAACUCUUUAUUUUUGGAACAUUGAUAUAUGGAUUAUUGAUCCAUUUUUAGUGAUCAUGAGAUUAAGUUACCUUAGGGAUAACAGCGUAAUUUUUCUUGAGAGUUCAUAUCAACAGAGAAGAUUGCGACCUCGAUGUUGGAUUAAGGAAUAUAAUUAGAUGCAGCAGUUUAAUUAAUAGGUCUGUUCGACCUUUAAAUCCUUACAUGAUCUGAGUUCAGACCGGUGUAAGCCAGGUCGGUUUCUAUCCUUAUUAAGUUUUUAUAUUUUAGUACGAAAGGACCAAGUAUUUUAAAUAUUUUAUGGUAUUUGAUUAUUAGUA